UACGGGGGGGGGCAAGCGUUGUUCGGAAUUACUGGGCGUAAAGGGCUCGUAGGUGGCCAACUAAGUCAUACGUGAAAUCCCUCGGCUUAACCGGGGAACUGCGUCUGAUACUGGAUGGCUUGAGGUUGGGAGAGGGAUGCGGAAUUCCAGGUGUAGCGGUGAAAUGCGUAGAUAUCUGGAGGAACACCGGUGGCGAAGGCGGCAUCCUGGACCAACACUGACGCUGAGUGAGCGAAAGCCAGGGGAGCAAACGGG
rnacentral:rRNA from 1 species